rnacentral:rRNA from 14 species
GGAUAACUGUGGUAAUUCUAGAGCUAAUACAUGCCGACGGGCGCUGACCCCCUUCGCGGGGGGGAUGCGUGCAUUUAUCAGAUCAAAACCAACCCGGUCAGCCCCUCUCCGGCCCCGGCCGGGGGGCGGGCGCCGGCGGCUUUGGUGACUCUAGAUAACCUCGGGCCGAUCGCACGCCCCCCGUGGCGGCGACGACCCAUUCGAACGUCUGCCCUAUCAACUUUCGAUGGUAGUCGCCGUGCCUACCAUGGU